GGGGGCAACCCUGGUGGCGAGUGGCGAACGGGUGAGUAAUACAUCGGAACGUACCCAGUUGUGGGGGAUAACCCACCGAAAGGUGGGCUAAUACCGCAUGAUCUGGAGACAGCAAAGCGGGGGAUCGCAAGACCUCGCGCGAUUGGAGCGGCCGAUGUCCGAUUAGCUAGUUGGUGGGGUAAAGGCCUACCAAGGCGACGAUCGGUAGCUGGUCUGAGAGGAUGAUCAGCCACACUGGGACUGAGACACGGCCCAGACUCCUACGGGAGGCAGCAGUGGGGAAUUUUGGACAAUGGGGGCAACCCUGAUCCAGCCAUGCCGCGUGAGUGAAGAAGGCCUUCGGGUUGUAAAGCUCUUUCGGUAGGAACGAAACGGUUACGACUAAUACUCGUGACUAAUGACGGUACUUACAGAAGAAGCACCGGCUAACUACGUGCCAGCAGCCGCGGUAAUACGUAGGGUGCGAGCGUUAAUCGGAAUUACUGGGCGUAAAGCGUGCGCAGGCGGUUAUUUAAGUCAGGUGUGAAAGCCCUGGGCUUAACCUAGGAAUUGCGCUUGAGACUGGAUAGCUUGGAGUGUGGCAGAGGGAGGUGGAAUUCCACGUGUAGCAGUGAAAUGCGUAGAGAUGUGGAGGAACACCGAUGGCGAAGGCAGCCUCCUGGGCCAGCACUGACGCUCAUGCACGAAAGCGUGGGGAGCAAACAGGAUUAGAUACCCUGGUAGUCCACGCCCUAAACGAUGUCGACUGGUUGUUGGUGGGGUUAAACCCAUUAGUAACGAAGCUAACGCGUGAAGUCGACCGCCUGGGGAGUACGGCCGCAAGGUUAAAACUCAAAGGAAUUGACGGGGACCCGCACAAGCGGUGGAUGAUGUGGAUUAAUUCGAUGCAACGCGAAGAACCUUACCUACCCUUGACAUGUACGGAAGCCUGCUGAGAGGUGGGCGUGCCCGAAAGGGAGCCGUAACACAGGUGCUGCAUGGCUGUCGUCAGCUCGUGUCGUGAUGUUGGGUUAAGUCCCGCAACGAGCGCAACCCUUGUCACUAGUUGCUACGCAAGGGCACUCUAGUGAGACUGCCGGUGACAAACCGGAGGAAGGUGGGGAUGACGUCAAGUCCUCAUGGCCCUUAUGGGUAGGGCUUCACACGUCAUACAAUGGCGCAUACAGAGGGCUGCCAACCCGCGAGGGGGAGCCAAUCCCAGAAAGUGCGUCGUAGUCCGGAUUGCAGUCUGCAACUCGACUGCAUGAAGUCGGAAUCGCUAGUAAUCGCGGAUCAGCAAUGUCGCGGUGAAUACGUUCCCGGGUCUUGUACACACCGCCCGUCACACCAUGGGAGUGGGUUUCACCAGAAGCCGGUUGCCUAACCGCAAGGGGGGCGCUGACCACGGUGAGAUUCAUGACUGGGGUGAAGUCGGAACAAGGUA
rnacentral:rRNA from 1 species